rnacentral:rRNA from 1 species
UUGCUUUCUUUGCUGGCGACCGGCGCACGGGUGAGUAACACGUAUCCAACCUGCCCUUUACUCGGGGAUAGCCUUUCGAAAGAAAGAUUAAUACCCGAUAGCAUAAUGAUUCCGCAUGGUUUCAUUAUUAAAGGAUUCCGGUAAAGGAUGGGGAUGCGUUCCAUUAGGUUGUUGGUGGGGUAACGGCCCACCAAGCCUUCGAUGGAUAGGGGUUCUGAGGGGAAGGUCCCCCACAUUGGAACUGAGACACGGUCCAA